rnacentral:rRNA from 1 species
GACGAACGCUGGCGGCGUGCUUAACACAUGCAAGUCGAACGAAGUGGCGAACGGGUGAGUAAUACGUGGGUAACCUGCCCUCCGUUUUGGGAUAAGCCUUGGAAACGGGGUCUAAUACCGAAUAAAGGGGGAUGGGCUCCCGGCCUAUCAGCGUGUUGGGGGGGUGAUGGCCUACAACGGCGGUGACGGUUAGCCGGCCUGCGAGGGGGACCGGCCACAUUGGGACUGAGGUACGGCACAUACUCCGACGGGAGGCAGCAGGGGGGGAUAUUGCACAAUGGGCGAAAGCCGGAUGCAGCGACGCAGCGUGGGGGAUGAAGGCUUUCGGGUUGGAAACCUCUUUCGCUAUCGAAAGGGUAGGUGGAGAAGAAGCGCCGGCUAACUACGUGCCAGCAGCCGCGGUAAUAC